rnacentral:rRNA from 1 species
GAAGGGGUGUAUUUAUUAGAUAAAAAACCAAUGCCCUUCGGGGCUUUUUGGUGAUUCAUGAUAACUUUACGGAUCGCAUAGCCUUGCGCUGGCGACGGUUCAUUCAAAUUUCUGCCCUAUCAACUUUCGAUGGUAAGGUAUUGGCUUACCAUGGUUUCAACGGGUAACGGGGAAUUAGGGUUCGAUUCCGGAGAGGGAGCCUGAGAAACGGCUACCACAUCCAAGGAAGGCAGCAGGCGCGCAAAUUACCCAAUCCCGACACGGGGAGGUAGUGACAAUAAAUACUGAUACAGGGCUCUUUUGGGUCUUGUAAUUGGAAUGAGUACAAUUUAAACCUCGUAACGAGGAACAAUUGGAGGGCAAGUCUGGUGCCAGCAGCCGCGGUAAUUCCAGCUCCAAUAGCGUAUAUUAAAGUUGUUGCAGUUAAAAAGCUCGUAGUUGAAACUUGGGCCUGGCUGGCGGGUCCGCCUCACCGCGUGCACUCGUCCGGCCGGGCCUUCCUUCUGAAGAACCUCAUGCCCUUCACUGGGCGUGCUGGGGAAUCAGGACUUUUACUUUGAAAAAAUUAAAGCGUUCAAAGCAGGCCUUUGCUCGAAUACGUUAGCAUGGAAUAAUAAAAUAAGGCGUGCGUUUCUAUUUUGUUGGGUUCUAGAGACCCGCAUGAUUAAC